rnacentral:tRNA from 1 species
GCCCAAGUGGCGGAAUGGUAGACGCAGGGGAUUCAAAAUCCCCCGGUAGCAAUAUCGUGCGAGUUCGAGUCUCGCCUUGGGCACCA